AAAAGAACCUGAAACCGUGUACGUACAAGCAGUGGGAGCACAGGUUUACCUGUGUGACUGCGUACCUUUUGUAUAAUGGGUCAGCGACUUAUAUUCUGUAGCAAGGUUAACCGAAUAGGGGAGCCGGAGGGAAACCGAGUCUUAAUUGGGCGUUAAGUUGCAGGGUAUAGACCCGAAACCCGGUGAUCUAGCCAUGGGCAGGUUGAAGGUUGGGUAACACUAACUGGAGGACCGAACCGACUAAUGUUGAAAAAUUAGCGGAUGACCUGUGGCUGGGGGUGAAAGGCCAAUCAAACCGGGAGAUAGCUGGUUCUCCCCGAAAGCUAUUUAGGUAGCGCCUCGUGAAUUCAUCUCCGGGGGUAGAGCACUGUUUCGGCUAGGGGGCCAUCCCGGCUUACCAACCCGAUGCAAACUGCGAAUACCGGAGAAUGUUAUCACGGGAGACACACGGCGGGUGCUAACGUCCGUCGUGAAGAGGGAAACAACCCAGACCGCCAGCUAAGGUCCCAAAGUCAUGGUUAAGUGGGAAACGAUGUGGGAAGGCCCAGACAGCCAGGAUGUUGGCUUAGAAGCAGCCAUCAUUUAAAGAAAGCGUAAUAGCUCACUGGUCGAGUCGGCCUGCGCGGAAGAUGUAACGGGGCUAAACCAUGCACCGAAGCUGCGGCAGCGACGCUUAUGCGU
rnacentral:rRNA from 1 species